GAAAGAGAAAUGGCUGCCCCUGCACCACUUACCGCGAAGGAGGCUCAAGGCUGGGGGUCCCCUCUGCCUUCCGGUGACCGCCCGUGUCACAUCCUGACCCGCUCAGCAGGAGAACACAGCAGGUCCCUCCGACCGCAGUCGGCCUCUCCAGCCUGCCAUGCCUCUGGCCAUGAGGCGACCCGCUGGAGUGAUGGAUUCCGGUCACUACCACCCACAGGGCGAGGGGGUGCAUUGGUCUGCUUGGGCCGCUGUAACAAAAUGCCACAGCCUGGGUGAGUGACUGACAUUGCUUCCCCACCGUUCUGGAGGCUGGAGGCCCGAGAUCGAGGUCCCUGACACUAUUUCAGUGAUGCCGGAGCCCAGGAGGAGUCGACCAAGCCCCAGCGUGGCCAUAAGCACCUUCGCAGGACCACGGAGUCGCUGCAGGUGUUCAGCCCUGUUGAGAGUGGGAGUUGGUGUCGAUGGUCACAGCUCAGUAACUCAUCGUCACCAGCGAGUACCACAGAGCAGACACAACUGCGCUUCUCUGUAGAGCCUCCAGUCGAUACUGAGAGCCACUGGGGCGUCUGACACCCAAGGGUGCAGACAUUCACUCCAAGUCCAGAGACCGCGCCCUUUCUAAGGCCCUGACUCACAGUCGCCCCAUGCUCAUUGUGCCGGAUGUUUCCACAGCCACAAAGACGGUGCGUGAAGGUGG
rnacentral:antisense_RNA from 1 species